rnacentral:snRNA from 1 species
AUUGCUUCUCUGCCUUUUGGCUAAGAUCAAGUGUAGUAAAAUGUUUAUUUAUUUGUUUUCCCUUAU